AAGGGUAUAGCUCAGUGGUAGAGCGUAUGCUUAGCAUGCACGAGGUCCUGGGUUCAAACCUCAGUACCUCCA
rnacentral:tRNA from 1 species